ensembl:lncRNA
AUUUAUUUCAACUACAUGAAUUAUUACUGUUCAGUCCUUUCCUAUUUAGUACAGAACAUACUGAGAAAGGAUGAAAAAAAUAUACAUUUCUUUUUUAACCGUACAUUCCUGCUAUAAUAAACCUGCAUAUACAAUACCUUGGAAACACAGUCAGAAAUCAGUUCACAUUUUGCUAUUUUUUGUUAGUUUGGAGACUCCCUGGUCCCAUCCUGAUGGUCUAAUCCAGAUAAUGUUUUGCUUCUGCACCAGUGGCAUCUCAGUAAGCUUCUGCUCUCUUGAGAGCACAUUUGACACUUGGGUAAAAUAACACAGAGAAGCUGGAAGUUGGAUGCUUGGUAGCCUUACCCAGCUCCAGAUUUUACAGCAUAUUUUUGCAGUCAGAGGCAUAUUUUUAAUUAUCAGGGCAGAAUCACUAGGGGACAAUUUGCAAUUGGUGGGAGCUGCAUGUUCCUGCUGCGAGUGUUGGAGUGAGGUGAUUAAGAGGCUCUCUGUGCUUACACCUAUAAAAUCAGAAUGUUCAGCGGAUGCACUGUUUUUCAGAUUUGAACUUGGUGUCGUAAAUCAAAUUUAUUUUUCAGGAGUAAGGUUUUUCUCACCAAAUCAGUACCUCUAGUAGCUAACCCAAAUGAAUUAUUCAGUUUAGGUAGGUGAGUUUAAAUUUUUGCAAGCUCUGAAUCACUUAUUAACAGUAACACAAAUAAUUGAUACUGAAAAGAAUCUCCAUAUAUAAACAGCCUAGGAAAACACAUUUAAACUCACUUAAACCAUUGUCUCAAUAGGCACCAUUGUAUGUACCUACGUUCUUUCACAUAGGGACAGGGGAAUGCUGGGAAAGGCAUAUGUAUUCAAAAAUGCAGCUUCAUGGGGAAAUAUGAUAGUGCACAAUGAUAAUCCCCUUGGUAAAUAUGUGCAGACAGCAUAUAGAUAGCAGUCAGACAAAUGGGGAUAGAAUGGGCAUUUGGCUUAGAAUAUUUUAAAAUUACAUGAUAAAAUAAAAAUGAAGAAAAGCAUCUCUGCUCUGCAGGGCUUGAAUCUCUGAUUUGCAGAUUAGCAAUGUUCUGUAGUUCUGCCUCCCUCUGCCCAACUAUUAUUUAUUUCUAGGGAAAAAACAGAAAAGAGGUCUGUUAAUGUGGUUCUAAAAGUACAUAACCUUGAAGUAACAAGAUGAAACUAUUUCCCCAGCCCCUCAGGCUUUGCAGCAAGGAUGGAUUCUGUGAGAUGUGCAACAGCAGGAAGUGGUGGAUCACAGAGGGGAUAGUGAAGUUUUCUUUGCUCUCCAUCUGCCUGGGUUAUCCCAUUCCUCCCUUUGCUUCAUCAAACCAGGAUGCAAUUGGAAAUGAACAGUCAGGGCCAGGCUUUCAUCCAUCCUGCCAAAGGAUUAUACCACAUCUAGUUGGGAUGACAGUUGCCAGACAGCAUAGCUUUGCUGCUUUGAGUGACAGACCUGAUGGUGCAUCUAACCUGAUGGUUGGAUUUGAAAAUGCGAUUGCAACUUGGGUUCCCAGAAUGAGACACCUUUAUCUUCUCUGAGGUCUGAAAAAGAAUCUUCCUGCAGAAUAGAGGCAUCUGUCCUCAGCUGAAAAAAAUGUGUGAACUACCCUGAGGGGCUGAACAUGACAGGGUUGAACAGAGAUAAAAGAAGGACCGUGCUUAAAAGAAAUGCUGGCUCACUCACAGGAAGGAAAUUUCAAACUUAAUUCUCUCGACCAAGAGGUGUCUGGAUUUAUGAGGAUCUUGGCUACGCGGGAGCCCCAUGUCUGCUUUCACUGAAAAAGAAAAGACAGUACAUCUUGCUCCAGGUCUGCUACUAAGAACUUUGGAAAGAACGGAGUGGAGGCUUCUGGAGGAGCCACGCACAGAGGUGUGACCUGGUACUUCUGUAGACUUGGCUGUUUCUCGUUACGAACAUGAGAUCUGAAGCGAGGAAGGACACAAACUCAGCCAUAACACCCUGGUUUGGAAGGCCAUAGAGAAGCACCAUCUCUUCAGAAGAGUAACUCCCAUUUUGCUGACCAAUGCCUUUUUCAACACAGGCCUUCCUAAAGUAUGUCUGUGGAAAGUCCUGCUGUGAAUUUAGAAACUCCUACAUUGGAGUUUUAGUUCUCAGCUGAUCGGGAAAAGUUGAAAUUUUUUUGUGUGAAAUCUAAUGUUUGAUAGAAAUGUGGAACUGUUAAAUUAUACCACAUGGAUAUAGCUCAGAGCAAAAAGCAGCAAAACCACUAAAUUCCUACAUAUAUGCUUUGUGCAAGUACAGAGGAUGCCUGUAUAAAACUAAUUAACUUGGCUUAAUAGCACAAGGUUAUUAAAAACACAGGCUCAUAAAUUAGGCUGCAUUCAUUGCCUUUCAAGACAGAAUUUGUGUGAAAAGAGCUUCCGUGGCUUACAAUUUCCUCUUAUGCAAUAGCUUCCACAUCUGUAAGGCUCAGAGAUGAGUAAGUGUUUCAAUUUGAGAGCAUUUUUCAGCAUCCUUCCUGAAGGACAGAAGCUUUCCUGAAUAGGCAGGUACAGGCAGGGACAUUAAUGUCAGCCUAUUUAUACACUGUUAAUCUGAUGUAAUGAGUGUUUCUGGAAUGCACUUGCACUCCCUCCACAUCAACACAAAGCAAAAUUAUUUGCUGUAUGUUUAGACAUUAAGUUCAAUCUUUUCUCGGAGAAGUAGAAAUUUUACUGCAGAAGAGCCACAGUUUAUGAAUCCAUGUACUCCAAAGUUACA